UUAGAGAUACUUUAGUGGCGGACGGGUGAGUAACGCGUGAGGAGCUGUCCGAUGCAGGGGGACAACAGUUGGAAACGACUGCUAAUACCCCAUAAGCCGAGAGGUAAAAGGAUUUAUCCGGCAAUGGAGGUACUCGCGUCCUAUCAGCUAGUAGGUGAGGUAACGGCUCACCUAGGCGAAGACGGGUAGCCGGCCUGAGAGGGCGAACGGCCACACUGGAACUGAGAUACGGUCCAGACUCCUACGGGAGGCAGCAGUG
rnacentral:rRNA from 1 species